AUUGAACGCUGGCGGCAGGCCUAACACAUGCAAGUCGAACGGUAACAGGAAGCAGCUUGCUGCUUUGCUGGCGAGUGGCGGACGGGUGAGUAAUGUCUGGGAAACUGCCUGAUGGAGGGGGAUAACUACUGGAAACGGUAGCUAAUACCGCAUAACGUCGCAAGACCAAAGAGGGGGACCUUCGGGCCUCUUGCCAUCGGAUGUGCCCAGAUGGGAUUAGCUUGUUGGUGGGGUAACGGCUCACCAAGGCGACGAUCCCUAGCUGGUCUGAGAGGAUGACCAGCCACACUGGAACUGAGACACGGUCCAGACUCCUACGGGAGGCAGCAGUGGGGAAUAUUGCACAAUGGGCGCAAGCCUGAUGCAGCCAUGCCGCGUGUAUGAAGAAGGCCUUCGGGUUGUAAAGUACUUUCAGCGGGGAGGAAGGGAGUAAAGUUAAUACCUUUACUCAUUGACGUUACCCGCAGAAGAAGCACCGGCUAACUCCGUG
rnacentral:rRNA from 1 species